GCGACGCUGGUGUAAUGGUGAUCAUGGUAGCUUUCCUAGUUGUCGAUCCGGGUUCGAUUCCCGGGCGUCGCA
rnacentral:tRNA from 1 species